rnacentral:rRNA from 1 species
UACGAAGGGGGCUAGCGUUGUUCGGAAUUACUGGGCGUAAAGGGCGCGUAGGCGGCCUACUAAGUCAGACGUGAAAUCCCCCGGCUUAACCUGGGAACUGCGUCUGAUACUGGAAGGCUUGAGGAUGGGAGAGGGAUGUAGAAUUCCAGGUGUAGCGGUGAAAUGCGUAGAUAUCGGGAGGAACACCGGUGGCGAAGGCGGCCCCCUGGUUGGAUACUGACGCUGAGACGCGAAAGCGUGGGGAGCAAACAGG